UUCUCUCUAAAGUGGCUCCACUCUUCCCUUCCGAUCUGUUGUCCUUUCUGCGAUGUAGUCAACAGUAGGGUAAAAAUGAUUUUGAUUGCCAAUUAGUAAGAUGGGAACACAUUCAAUCCCGUUCUGGUGGUGCUCUCUGUUUUCCAAUCCGUAUGGAUAUCGAGCACAUGAUUAAUUUGUAUUUUAAAGUUGGACCUUACUGUCCUUCGUUUACCGUCUUUAGUCCGUCAGUACAACAACUAAAUUUAAGAGAAAUCCAUUCCAAAAAGUCACAAUCUGCAAGAACUGAUGUCUCAGAAUCUCAAUUCAGGAAGUCAAAAGGUCUUCUAUUAGUCAGCUCCGACGUAUCUGUCGUGUUAGAGAUUAUCCCGAUUUCACCAUUGUGAUAGAGGUGUGACUUGAAGGUGGUGAGCGAUGCAAACGUCUUCUUCCCCAAUUGAGACUGUCCUGGCACACCUCGGCAUGCAUGGCUGCUUCUCCGAGAUCACCACCAACCUGGCGAGCGUCGACACCGAUGGUGGUGUUUAGAUCUCACCGUUCUGUGGCCACGCCCCACAGGUGCAAGCUCUGCUCUGACAACAUGUGCAAGCGUUAGGCUGAUCAUUUAAUUGUGCAUAUGUGGGCUCUUUAAUUGUUUGUGACUACAUAUGUGUAUUGUAGGAAAAAAAAUCCAUAUUUUGUACAUUGUUAAAUGCCUGUCAUUUCUAUAUUAUAUUGUACUACAUAAUUAAUAUCUGCAUUUCUAUUUACAGCCAUAAUGUAGAAAGUGCAUUGACUGAAUAUUAUAUUCUUAACAAAAAUCUGAAAUGGAAAUUACUGACAGAUACGUCUCCUGAUGCCAGUGCAAAUGCUGCUUUUGAUUUUUAUGAUUAGAUAGAUUAUAUGCAUGGUGGUGUAAGCUUAUUUAUUAAAUUGGAUGUAUGUCCCUGGCUGUUUUGUUAAAUCUGUGAUAGGCUUAGGCUGAUCAUAUACUUCUAAAUUUAUCACCUGUUUUGAAUGCAUUCCAAGCAAAAUAGUUGAUGUCCCUGGAUCCUGUACCUAUUGGUGUAGUUUUGUUUUAAUUGAUUUGGUGCUUUCAGUCUUUGCUUCGCCAAUGUUUCUGUAAUUGAUUGCCCUGGGAAGUGCUGUAGUAAAAGCACGACUCCAAUUCCAAAUUACAGAGAAUUCCAGACAAGAGGGUCUGCCCUGGUCUGAUCUAUAAAUCGCUAUGUUCUUAUCUUCAGUAAUCAUCUAUUUUCUUAGGUGCCUCAUAUUAUUGAGAACUCAUGGUCCCAGUUCUUUUGGCAUUAAUAGAUUGAUGAGUUAUUUUAUUGGAUGACGUCAAAUUUCCUUUGCCUCACUGUCCAGGUUAAAUGGCCUCUGAUUAUUGACUUGAAAACUGGCAUGUGUGUGUUUUUUCAUUUUGUUUCUUUAUAAUCUGCACCAACUAACCUGCUUUGAAUAGUUUGUUUGUGAUUCUACUGUUUACGUGAGUUUGACUGGUUAGAGAAUUUAAAUGUAUCAAAAAAAUAGUUCAACCCUGCAUUAUACAAAAUUAUGUGGAACCAUAAAAGGAUUUGGUCGUGUUGCAUGAUUUGCAUGAUAGCAAGGCUAUAUUCACUCUAAUCAGGUUUAUAAUUCCUAGAAGCAAAUAUAGAGAGUUGCUAGAUGUUAAAUGUCGGUUCCUUUUUUAGUUUUUUAAGCUCUUAUUUCUCCUAAACAUAGGUCAGGCAACAUUAUAUGAAGUAGCAUUACUGAAUUCUCACACAUAAUGCAAAGGCCUUGUUUGAUGUGUCUGUUACAUCCAUAGUUGGCAAUGGGAAGACUGUGAAGUUCUGGACUGAUCGUUGGCUCUUUGGUCAAACUGUUGCUGAAUGCUGCCCAUCCUUAAUUAAAUCAAUUCCUAAAAAGGGCCUUAAAGCAACGAACAGUAGCAGAGGGAAUCACAGACUGCAAGUGGGUUUCUGAUAUAAGAGGAGCACUGUCCGUGCAAGUUCUACUGGAAUACUUGCAGCUCUGGAAUUUGGUUGAGGGGUGUCGGUGUUUUAAACCCGCCGGUUCUAACCAACUAGUAAAUUUGUGCUGCGUGCUCUUAUCCCGGAUGGUUGAUGAAAGAAGACACACAAGGUUUAUCCUGGUUCGGGCAAGAGAAGGCCCUACAUCCAGCGGGGGGAGGAGACUUAUAUUAUCUUGCAUCUAAGUGCUCGUAGUAGGGGAUACAAGCAAGUCGAGAGAGGGAGUGAGUCCUAAGUCUCUGAGUAUGAUUGAGGCGAGUGCCAAUAUCAGGAGUGGAGUGAGGAGUGAACGGUGAAGUGUUGUCCUUGACCUCCUUAUAGAAGGCCCCGGGCUCUUCCUUUUAUAGCUGCAAGGAGGAGGCCCAGGGGUACAGGUGUUGCUAUGCUAUUGCUGUGGUAGGAGGAGGUGUGUCCGAGCCCUGUAGCGGUAUGGCCGGCGGGAUGGCCCUCGUCCUUGAUGUCGUCUUUGGUCAGGAGAAGGACGCCCGAUCCCUGUAGCCUGUCCUUUGACUAGGUAGAGAGCCGAGGCCGGGUUUGGGAGCAUGGGCGUCUGCCCGAGCUCGUCCUGUACAGGGGUGCGAAUGAGACGUUUCCGAGGGUGUCGAGUCGGAGUGGUUGAAACAGAGCUCGGCAUGGUGAAAAAGUGUGUGGUAAUCUGGUCCGGAUGUCAUUCUGGAUGGUGGAAAGUGGAUUGGACACUGGUCUUGUUGUUUCUGUAGCCUUCCUGUCUUCAGCGGGAGAGCAGGUGGCAUUUAAUGCGCGUGCUUCCCUGUUGGGGCAGUUGGCCGAGGUCAAGCUCGGGCGAGGCGAAGAUUUCUUCCGAGGCCGAGGCCGUGAUUAGACGUUGCAUGUAGUCACGCUCUGGGUGGUUGAAACAGUGGUCGGAGUGGGGGAAUAGUACCCCUGUAUUCGUGCCCUGACCAUCGUUGUGGGUGGUAAAAGUAGAUUAGACCGUGGGCGUGUCGUCCUUUGUUGACUUUGGCACCUGCUGCGGGGCAGGUGGCCGUACAGACUACAUUUAAUACGCACGUUCUGGGAUCGGAGUGGUUGGCCGAGGCGGGCAUGCCCCGGAGCGCUGCCCGAGAUGCCCUCGAGCGAGUCGGAAAUGCGUCUUCCGCCCGAGGCUGGCCUCGGGUGAGUCGCGAAUGCGUCCUUCCCCCGCGGCGAGGUUCGGUCGAAUCGUAGAACUACGGCUCGCCCGAGGAUAUCCUCGGGCGAAUCGUAGUUGUACUGUCGGCCUGUGGGGCUUCGGGCGAAUCGUGAUUUUGGUUCCGUGUGGCCUUGGUAAGGUUGGAAGCGUGUUUGCUUGUGACCCCUUCUUACCCAGGCGUCUAGGCACUUUAGGGUUGUGAUCUGGGUACCCCUAAUUACGGUACCCGACAAGUGGGUAGAGCUUCAACCUGACAUUGAAGAUCAACAUAUUUGGCGUCUCUCUGGCCAUGGUAUUUACUCCAGCAGGUCAGCGUAUGAAGCAUUUUUUACUAGAUCUAUCACUUUCGCCCCUUGGCGGCGUGUGUGGAAGACCUGGGCCCCCUUAAGGUGCAAACUCUUUGUUUGGUUGGCAAUCAAAAACCGGGUCUGGACAGCUGACAGAUUGGCCUAAAGAGGACUGCCCCAUCCAGCUGCGUGCCCUCUUUGUGAUCAGGCAGAGGAGACCAUCCAACAUACUCUCAUCCCUUGUGUUUUUGCCCGGCAAGUCUGGACGUUGAUCCUCCACAAAUUGGGCCUCCUCAUCAUUGCUCCUCAGCCAGGAUGCUCGAGAUUUUCGAGUUGGUGGUGCCAAAGUAUUAAAAGUGUUGAGAAGAACUUCAGGAAGGGACUUAACUCCCUAAUCAUUUUGGUUGCUUGGGAGUUAUGGAAGCACCGUAAUUCUUGCGUCUUUGACGGUGCUACACCCUGUGUCCAAAGUGUUGUGCUUGCUGUGACUGAAGAGGGUAGUGCCUGGUGCUUGGCUGGAGCAUCAGCUCUUCAGGACCUCCUCCUGCGUCGACUCCCCAUGGCGUCCUAGUAGUUGUUAGGUGAUAGUUCUGGUCGUUUGUCGCCCUGUGUGUGUGGCGCGCUGAGUUGGGGUAAUGGUGUGGUGUGUUGGCCUUAUUGGCCUUGUACUUAGGGGAUGACAAGUCUUGUCUCUCCUAAUUUCUCUUUCUUAAUGAAAUGCCUGCGUUUGUUCAAAAAAAAAAGAUUCAGCCAACUAUUCUGCACUACUGCUGCCUUGAUGUUGCUUCAGGUAAUCGACCAUAUAUGGACUGUUUUAGUGUUUUUCACAGCACUGCAUAUAGGCUUUAGUGUAUUACGAGUAUGUUUCUUUCUAAUUCUACCUUUCUUACUUUGUGCAACACUGCAAAUCAAGACCUGAGUUACAAAACUGAUUUUUAUUGUACGGUUGUCUAAGUUUGCACUAUCAUCAUUCAAGUUAUAUCAUGGUAUGCAGAGAUAGCACCCGCCUUGAUGUUGAUUGUCAUUUUUUGUAUGUCAUUGCUUAUAAAAAAACAGAGAUACCCUGCUAUGCUUAAGGAAGAUGAAAGUGACAUGUAAGAUUACUCAGUGCACUUCAUUUUUGCUCUUAGUUGACCUGUACAUGUCUGAUGUUUAUGCUGUUUUGUCUUCUCUACUUUAAGUGCCUACUAGAUUCAAAAAAAUACUUUAAGUGCCUACUAGGUGCAAUUUUAAAUUAGUAUUUUGUAGUCAACAGAUAGAGCACACUGCUCUGAUUGUAGUCAACAAAGAUGGCAUUGAAGAACCCAGCCAGACAUACUAGGAUUAAGUGAAUUUGCCAAUAUGAGAUGACCCAAAUGGUUUAAGUGAAUAUCUCUAUCUCGAGUUGGAGGUUGCUAUCAGACACUACCUGUUUUUAACUCUUAGUUUGAGCUUACAUCUCAAACCAAACUAUUAUCUUGCAAUCUGCAUGAAGAAUUGCAGUGCUUGUUGCUUCACUUCAGUUUUUACUCUCAUUUUGCACGAAACUAUGUGUUAUUUAUUACAGAUUUCACUCAUUUCUUUUGUUUACUGUGUAGCAAAAUAUGGAGAUAAUCAAACUGCCGACUGAAUUUGAUAUCACUAAAAAAGACAUGGUACUGCUGAGACACCAAACAAAUACACAAUGCAAGCACCUUGGAGUACAUAUGUUCCAUGAUUAAUGUUAGUCCACUAACAGAAGAUAUUCUCUACAGGUAAUAAUGUGUUUUCUCUGAAUAUUUUUUGCUUUGUAUGUCUCUAAAAUUUUUGACAUGUGCGGUCACAAAUGGUUAGGAGGGAGGAAAACAAUAUGCCGAGUAUGGUUCUGUUACUGUUGAGAGCAAAGGAAAAUGGCGACUAGGCUCAUCAACAAUAUGUGAAGUUUCUCAUUUAUUUAUUUUUUAAAUAGAGAACAAACUGAAGCCCAAGAACAACAUGCACUACAAAUGGUUAAGCAACAAUUGUUUUCUCCACUAUUUAAUGCCUGAAGUAAAUUUAUUUUCCGAAUGGUACUGCAUAACUAUACAGCCUUCCUCCUUUUUUAAAAAAAAUAUACUACUGCAGUCUGCAUUGAUGCCAAUCAUGUUCUAAACCCUUCUUAUUCUCUCUGUAAAAAAGGGAUUAGUAAAACACUUACAGGCGCAACCUCAGCUAGGUUUGGGUUGUUGUCUGGAAGGAGAUUAGUUUCAAGGACUGAGCUGAUCAACAUGCCGGCAAGGAACAACUCUUUCUUUUUGCCUUGCAUGAGCUAGGGGAAAUUCAGUACUGGCUACACGGGAAGCGGGAUAAGUUGCAGUGACAGCAAAACCAGAUAGGAGAAAGAGUGCAGGAACUGAAGAAGAUUGGUGGGAAGCACAGCUUUCUGAUCUUUGAAGACCGCAAGUUUGCUGACAUUGGGAACACAAUUGGAGCCUCCUGCAACUACGAGGGGAAAAAAAUUCUGAUGACUAAAGUGCUUCGAUUCUUAAACCUUCAGUAGGCCAGAAAUAUCUUUAUAAUGGACCCGAGGCCUAUACGAACUGGUAAUUGACAACAUGGGUUCCAAAAACAUUAGAUUGGAAUCUUAAUCUAUCUCAAUAUUUACUUCAUUUUUAAGAGACAUAUUGUCAUUUUGUUUUUUUCCAUAGCGUUAGCAUGGGCAUGUAUACUAUCAGUAUAUAUGAUUUUUUUGCCUUACACCUCGGUUCAAUAUACAGUAAUACACUUCCAA